rnacentral:rRNA from 1 species
GACGAACGCUGGCGGCGUGCUUAACACAUGCAAGUCGAACGGAAAGGCCCUGCUCUUGUGGGGUGCUCGAGUGGCGAACGGGUGAGUAACACGUGAGUAACCUGCCCUUGACUUUGGGAUAACUUCAGGAAACUGGGGCUAAUACCGGAUAGGAGCUCCUGCUGCAUGGUGGGGGUUGGAAAGUUUCGGCGGUUGGGGAUGGACUCGCGGCUUAUCAGCUUGUUGGUGGGGUAGUGGCUUACCAAGGCUUUGACGGGUAGCCGGCCUGAGAGGGUGACCGGCCACAUUGGGACUGAGAUACGGCCCAGACUCCUACGGGAGGCAGCAGUGGGGAAUAUUGCACAAUGGGCGGAAGCCUGAUGCAGCAACGCCGCGUGCGGGAUGACGGCCUUCGGGUUGUAAACCGCUUUCGCCUGUGACGAAGCGUGAGUGACGGUAAUGGGUAAAGAAGCACCGGCUAACUACGUG